UACGAAGGGGGCGAGCGUUGUUCGGAUUUACUGGGCGUAAAGGGCGCGCAGGCGGCCGCAUUUGUCAGGCGUGAAAGCCCCGGGCUUAACCUGGGAACUGCGUUUGAUACGGUGUGGCUAGAGUUCGGGAGAGGAGAGUGGAAUUCCCAGUGUAGAGGUGAAAUUCGUAGAUAUUGGGAAGAACACCGGUGGCGAAGGCGGCUCUCUGGACCGAGACUGACGCUGAGGCGCGAAAGCGUGGGGAGCGAACAGG
rnacentral:rRNA from 1 species